UACGUAGGGUGCAAGCGUUAUUCGGAAUUACUGGGCGUAAAGCGUGCGCAGGCGGCUUUGCAAGACAGAUGUGAAAUCCCCGGGCUUAACCUGGGAACUGCAUUUGAGACUGCAUGGCUGGAGUGCGGCAGAGGGGGAUGGAAUUCCGCGUGUAGCAGUGAAAUGCGUAGAUAUGCGGAGGAACACCGAUGGCGAAGGCAAUCCCCUGGGCCUGCACUGACGCUCAUGCACGAAAGCGUGGGGAGCAAACAGG
rnacentral:rRNA from 1 species